rnacentral:rRNA from 1 species
UACGUAGGGUGCAAGCGUUAUCCGGAAUUAUUGGGCGUAAAGAGCUCGUAGGCGGUUUGUCGCGUCUGCGGUGAAAACCCGAGGCUCAACCUCGGGCCUGCAGUGGGUACGGGCAGACUAGAGUGCGGUAGGGGAGAUUGGAAUUCCUGGUGUAGCGGUGGAAUGCGCAGAUAUCAGGAGGAACACCGAUGGCGAAGGCAGAUCUCUGGGCCGUAACUGACGCUGAGGAGCGAAAGCGUGGGGAGCGAACAGG